CUGAGUCUCCUGCCCUCUGGGUAGAACUCUAACCCUUGAAUACUUUACCUUUGUUGCUUUGGCGGGCCACAGGCUCCGGCCUGUCCCCGGCUUCGGCUGGAGUGCGCCCGCCAGAGGACCCCAAACUCUGAAUAUUAGUGUUGUCUGAGUCUAAAGAAAAUUAUUUA
rnacentral:misc_RNA from 1 species